CCCGCACAAGCGGUGGAGCAUGUGGUUUAAUUCGACGCAACGCGAAGAACCGUUUACCAGGGCUUGACAUCCUUAGAAUCCUGAGGAAACUCGGGAGUGCCCUUCUGGGAGCUAAGAGACAGGUGGUGCAUGGUUGUCGUCAGCUCGUGUCGUGAGAUGUUGGGUUAAGUCCCGCAACGAGCGCAACCCCUAUAUUUAGUUGCUAACAGGAAAGCUGAGCACUCUAGAAAGACUGCCGGUGAUAAACCGGAGGAAGGUGGGAUGACGUCAAAUCAUCAUGCCCCUUAUGUUCUGGGCUACACACGUGCUACAAUGGCCGGUACAAACGGAAGCAAGCCCGCGAGGUGGAGCAAAUCUGAGAAAACCGGUCUCAGUUCGGAUUGCAGGCUGCAACUCGCCUGCAUGAAGUCGGAAUCGCUAGUAAUCGCAGGUCAGCAUACUGCGGUGAAUACGUUCCCGGGCCUU
rnacentral:rRNA from 1 species